rnacentral:tRNA from 1 species
AUUUGUAUAGUAUAAAAAUUAUAAAUGAUUUCCAAUCAUAAGAUCUAUUUAAAUAGUACAAAUA